GCGUGGGUAGCCAAGCCCGGUCAAAGGCGAGGGACUCAAGAUCCCUUCCCGCAGGGGUUCCCAGGUUCGAAUCCUGGCCCACGCA
rfam:Euryarchaeota archaeon 13_1_20CM_4_64_14 13_1_20cm_4_scaffold_2142, whole genome shotgun sequence.